rnacentral:lncRNA from 1 species
AUAGAUUUUGCAUACGAAAGUUUCCUUAUAAUAGUUAUAAAUCACAUGUGAUUCUGUUGAUAAAAGUUGUAUAAUGAACUUCAUAUAACAUAUGAUAAUUAUCGUGUGUUUUACUUGUAUUCCCCCCCGUUAAAAUGUCACACCCCGAAAACCAAAGGCGGAAACGUUCCCGGGGUUGACUCCAUGUUGUGUAUCAAAUCCAAUGUACAUAGUAAUCACAGUAAACAACCAUUACAUUACAUAUAUAUGAAAGUUUACAUUUGGUUCAAAAGUAAAUUGUACAAAGUUAUACAUAUAUCAUAUGAACAAAAGAGACGAGUCUUCGGAGCACUCCAUCUUCAUCAAAAGAUAUCGCCGGGUACCUGUCUAACUUGGACCUGAGAAUACAAGCAGUUUGAAAAUCAGCAUAAAGCUGGUGAGUUCAUAAGCGGUUUUGUUUUGUGAAAAUGUAUCGGUUUCCUUUAGUUUUCUGAAAAGAUUUGAUAUCCAAGAAAAUCCCAUAUUUUCUUAUGUAAAGUAGUUAAGUUAUCUUUCGUUACAGUUCUGUUACAAGAUAUAAGUUAACCCCAGGAAAAUCCCAUAUUUUCCUAAAUGCAAGAUUGAUAGAAUAACACAUAGUAUAGUUUAAUAUACAAAACUAUAAUUUUGACGAACUGUAGAUAGAAAGUAUUUUGAAAACCUUGGGACUAACAUCCCGAACCAGUUAUAAGAUAAUUCGAUAAAGACCAUGGGAUCACUAUCCCGAAAAUAGAUAUAAGAUAGCUUGAUAAACCAUGGGAUCACUAUCCCGAAACUAGAUAUAUGAUAGAUUGAUAAAAUCAUGGGAUUAUCAUCCCGUAUAAGAUUUAGUUUCAAAACCAUGGGAUUACCAUCCCGAACGAGAUAUAGACACAAGAUCAUGGGAUUAUCAUCCCGAACGAGAUAUAGACAUAAAACCAUGGGAUUACCAUCCCGAACGAGAUAUAGAUAUAAAACCAUGGGAUUAUCAUCCCGAACAAGAUUUAGAUUCUAAACAAAUCUUAGCUGUGAAUAAGUUUAUAUUAAUACGUAUUGUGAGUCGGGUAACCAUGCUGAUACGACAACGAGACCUCCUUGACGUUAGUCAGACGUCGAAUGAUAUACAGAAUUUGUCACCCCAGGCGUGCCCGCCUAACUGUAGCUAGCAGUUAAGGUGUGGGAUUGUCAGUCCCGAAUAGAUCUAUUCACAAAUUCCUCGCUCUCCCUCCAGGAGACUCUGGUUACACUUCCGGAGAGGAUUUACUUGAUCAUCCAUAAAGGGUAGUGACUAUCUCACAAGCUAGUAUUAAACUAUUCACAGGAUUCUCAUACGAUACCAAACAUACAAAGAUUUCAAGACAUGAUACAGUGAAAAUAGUUACAUACAGGAAACUAUCUGGCAAUACAUUCAAAUGAUACGGAGAUAAACUGAAUCAGACAUAGUUUAUCUAAUAACUUUAUACAGAUAUCAGUACAUGAUAUAAAGAGAAACAUAGAACCCCAAAUUAUUCCCAUAAUAAUUUGAUUAGUUUGGUUAUUUUCUUAACUAAAAUCCAUUUAGUUGUAAUUGAUAAAUCAUUCCUUAUGCUCAACAUAAUACAUAAGGAGUAAAAGAGUUUAUAAGUUUGCCAGAUAUUAUUUGAAACACAUAAAUGUUAUGAUUUGAAAACAGUUUUGGUUUGCUUGUAUUCCCCCCUGAAAACAGUUAAAAACAGUGAAAAAGGCGUAGGGGUAUGAACUCACCGGACGAGAAGUAUGACGAUUUGGAUGCUAAGAGUUGAUCCGGGGCUUGUAAAUACACGAGGUUCCUAAUUAUAAUGUAAAGAUACACAUUUGUAUCUAAUUAGGACUUAGAUUGAUUGUUGGAUAGGGACAAUUGCUUCUAGUCGCGAAAACACUCCGAUACGAGUGUUUGGAGGGACCCGGGUGGCGUUUAAGGAUGUGAAAUGACACUAGGGACUUGGGACUUGAGUUUACUCCCCAUGAGUAAACUUUUAAAUGAGUUUACAACCACAAAACACACACAUACAUGAGUUUACGGCCGUAAACUCAUGUGGGUGUGGUUUUGGGUGUUUAAAUGGCUUAAAUGGCUUACAUGGACAUGGGAAAUGAUUCUAGGCUUUGAUCUAAAUGCAUGGAAUGGAUUAAAAUCACCAAAAUGAUUAAUUUAUGGGAGUUUACGGCCUAGCAUAGGCUCCUGGCCGUAAACUCCUUAAUCCUUAUGAAAAUGAUGCUAAAUGGUGUUAAAACCAAUCACAUGUGAUUCUAAAAAUUCCCACAAGCCUAGAAAUGAGUUUAUAUGGGACAUAUGAGGGAUUUAUGGAGUUUACGGCCCAUGAAACCCCCUUCAUGGCCGUAAACUCUAAUAUGUCAAGCUACAAUGUGUUUCAAGGUCUAAAACUUGCAUGAAAGGACUUCUAAAAUUCAUCUAAAGGCUGUAGGGGUGUUUAGUUUGCAUUCUAACACCAAAAAUUUUGGAGUUUACGGCCCAAGAACAGGUCUUGGCCGUAAACUCUUAGAAAUCCCAUAAAAGAUGUGUUUAAGGCCUUUAAAGUAUUUUUGGUUGGUCCCUUGAUUUAUUCCAAGGCUUUUGGUGGUGUUGGAUGGCUUUCUAACACCUUAGAAUUGGAUUUAUGCCAAGUUUUGGGGAGUUUACGGCCCAAGCACUAUCCUUGGCCGUAAACUCAUCUAAGUCCCCCAAAAAUCAUGUUUCAAGUGUCCAAAUGCUAAUACCAAGGUCCUAUAAUUCAUAUCUAAGCCAUAGAGGUGAUUUGGAAGGGUUUAAAGGCAUGAAAAACCCCAUUAACAUGAGUUUACGGCCCAAGCUUAUGCCUUGGCCGUAAACUCCUUCAAAGUCCUCAAAAUCAUAGUUUUAAGUGUUCUAAGUCCAUAUCUUGAAGUCCCUUAGCCAUAUCUAAAGUCCAAUUGAGUCUAGGAAGGAGUUUAAGGGCUAAAAACCCUUCAAAAUGGUGUUUACGGCCUAGGCAGCCUCCUGGGCCGUAAACUCACAUAUAUUGUCCAAUUUCAUGAUUAAGUGUCUAAUUUGGAAGCUAAACAUGCUAUAGAUUAAGGCUAGGAAGGUACCUUAAGGAUUUGAAGCCUUAAAUUUGAGUUUUGGACACUUAAUCUUUGGAUUUAGGAGAGAGGUUAGAGAGAGAGUAGAGAGAGAAGGAAAAAGCUUCAAAUGAGUGCUUAAACAUGUUUAUAUAGUCCCUAAAACUUGGACACGGUGGAAUUCUACCCGAUACCGGCCUUAAACGAUGCUUUGGGUCGCACCCGAUUGAGUUUUCGUCACCCGACGAGGAUAUUUCUAAAACUUAUGAAAUAAAUGUUUUGGGCUAAAUUCAUGAGUUCCUAAAUGAUUUGGACCCUCAUUGAAUGAAAAUAAACAUAUAAUUUUAGUUAACUAAACCCAAAAACGAUAACAGGACAUUUCGAUUUCCGACGAGUUAUUCGGGUAGAACGGGUUUUCGGCGAUGAACAACUUCGGGUUGUUACAAAAUCCCCCCGUUAGAGGGAAUUUCGUCCCGAAAUUCAAAGAAUAAGAUACAGGUCAUGGAUUGGAAUGAGAUACGAAUGGAUUUGUUGCCUCGGAUCUUCACUUCCUCAAGUGGAAUCAGGUCUCUAUUGGGCGUUCUAACGAAUUCUCAUUAUCGGAACAUGCCUUGGUUUCGCUUCUUGACUCUCUCUCAAUCUACGAUAUCAAUCUGCUUUCUCGUGGAAGCUCCAACCCUGAAUGACUUCGGUUUCCUCAAAGGAAUCACUAGGGUUUCGUUGGGCAGACGCUUCUAAGGAUUCGAGACGUGAUGGUCUAGAUAGAUAUUACCAAGCUCUAAGGGCAUCCGAAACUUGAAGGUUACAGAAUCGAUCUCUACGAAGAUCUCGAAAGGUUUGAUGUGAGACUAAACUAGAUGCUCGAAAGAAACUCCCGGGAAUCCUUCGGGAUAGACAUUUAGAGGGAAUAGUUGCUAACUUCCCGUUUCUCAAUAAUCACAGAAACGAGGGAUGCGUGGUAAUUCACAUUGGGAAAACUUUUGAGUUCUAAAGCAUAGAAUGAUACGAAAGUUUGAUGCCGAAGAUCACGAGAACAGGGUCGAGGAAAAAUCUAGACGAGCGACCCUUUCGAAAGCAAAGAUAACAACAUGAAUGAGACUCGGUCAUUUCUGGUUAAACAUGGCAUCAAAGUAUUUUCAUGGAAAGUUUCCCCCUUUAUAAAUCGAAUGGAAUAGAAUAGUCCUCCGGACCGAGGAUUCAAUCUAUAGGUACGAAGUUAGUGUUCUCUAUCUCACUAGUUAGUCGUCUCGACGGUAUACAUUUCGAUUACAUGCGAAGGAUUGAGUUUAGAAUAUGUUCGAAUAGAUAGAUAACAGGUUUCCCUUUUGCACCCAAAAUCGAAAAGAGUUGCAAGCAUAAGAAUUAUCAAAGAGAGAUAUACCUGUGGCAGCAGAGGGAUUUGUGGUUGUAGCUGUCUUGGGACAAUUCCUUUUGAAGUGCCCAGCUUCACCACAAUUGUAACAGGCCGGACUGAUUCCCGUUCCGGAUGAUUGGUUUGUUGGCUUGGCUGGUUUUCUGCAGGUUCGCGCAAGAUGGCCCUUAUUGCCACAGUUGUCGCAGAUCCUUUCGCGACAUGGUCCAGGAAUGCGGUGGUGGUAGUUGCACUUACCACACCAAGGAAGGGUACCAGUAUAUCCACUGGCGGGAGUUUGGGCUGUGGAACCUACAGCUGAAACAGCAACAGGGGCAGUAGCAGCAUGGACUGCUACCGUUUGCUGUUUCUUAGAAGACCCUUGCGUACUCUGGGCCUUCCGUUUGUUCCAGGAUUUCUUUUUACUUCCGCCUCCACUAGUGACUGGCUCGGGGGUAGUAGCUUCUUCAUCAGAGUUGUCUUCGUGAUCUAUCAGGAUUUUCGCAAGGCACUUAGCACUGUCAUAUGUGUCUGGCUUCGCAGCCAAGACAUUCCCCUUUGUUGGCUGGGUCAACCCCCAGAUGAACCUCUCUAUCUUUUUACUCUCCGGGGUAACCAUUCCCGGACAAAGUAACGCCAGAUCAUCGAAUCUUGAGGUAUAAGCAGCUAUGUCGGAACCCUUCAUCUUAAGGUUCCAAAGUUCGUGUUCUAGCUUCUGAAGUUCGCCCCGAGGGCAAUACUCUGCGAGAAGAAGCUCCUUCAUAGCUUCCCAACCCAUAGCAUUGGCUACAGGUAAAGUUAAGGAUUUGACUCGGCCAUUCCACCAAGUCAGGGCUUUGUCUAGGAAGGUACAGGCGGCAAACUUGACUCUAUCAGACUCCGAACAGCCACAUAUUUCAAAGAUUGAUUCGAUUCUCUCGAACCAUCGGGUUAAGGCAAUGACACCCCCUGUGCCAUCGAAGAAUGUCGGUUUUGCGUUCAUGAAGUCUUUAUAGGAACCCCCUUUUUGGUGUCCCUGGCUAUCUUCUGGGUUUUGGGGUUGGGGAUCACCUCCUGAAUUUCUAGAGUUCAUUUGCGACAUGGCUGCUACCAUUGCAGCAGUCAGAACUGUCUGAAGCGAUGCAAGAUCAAGUUGAAGAGGAGGAUUGUUGUUGUUCGUUGAGCUGGGUCUCUUUCUUGGAGGCAUCUUGAUCUAAAAAGAUCAGGAAAGAGAGGAUCAUAAGUCCUCUGAAUUGAAUCAAGAGAUAUGGGACAGGAGAUAUCUCAUCAAGGCAAAUAUAGCAUCAUACUAAGCGAUAAAGCAGAAAGGAGUUAUCAAGAUAGAACAUUUUAUCGCUAGAGGAAUGAUCAAGGAAUAACGCGUAUACAAGAAUUUCUACAAAGGAUCGGCUCGAGAAAUACUCCCAUAGUAUUUCAUGGUUCGCUGCAGCGACGAUUUGUUGUUUGGGAUAUUGGGUAAGUUUUAGGUAUGCCGCAUGCCACAGUCACUCCCAAGCACAUGUUGGCCGUGUCUCGAAUGAAUAUAGUUGGCCAGGCUAUAUUGACCCUAGACACGACUACAUAACUGCCCAGGUUUAACCGCAGCGUACAACACCCAUUUACUUAUGUUUUGUUCUACUUAUAGUUACGGAUUUCGACGGCUCGGCAUACUUAAAUACUUUUGAAAAUACUUAUAUUUUGUAGGAUACUUUUAGUUCAGAGCACUUAGGCCCCUUAAUGUUUAUAGUUUUAUACCAUGUAAGGUUUGGUAUACUCUGUUCACUAUAAACAAGGGCUCUGAUACCAAUCUGUCACACCCCGAAAACCAAAGGCGGAAACGUUCCCGGGGUUGACUCCAUGUUGUGUAUCAAAUCCAAUGUACAUAGUAAUCACAGUAAACAACCAUUACAUUACAUAUAUAUGAAAGUUUACAUUUGGUUCAAAAGUAAAUUGUACAAAAGUUAUACAUAUAUCAUAUGAACAAAAGAGACGAGUCUUCAGAGCACUCCGUCUUCACCAAAAGAUAUCGCCGGGUACCUGUCUAACUUGGACCUGAGAAUACAAGCAGUUUGAAAAUCAGCAUAAAGCUGGUGAGUUCAUAAGCGGUUUUGUUUUGUGAAAAUGUAUCGGUUUCCUUUAGUUUUCUGAAAAGAUUUGAUAUCCAAGAAAAUCCCAUAUUUUCUUAUGUAAAGUAGUUAAGUUAUCUUUCGUUACAGUUCUGUUACAAGUUAUAAGUUAACCCCAGGAAAAUCCCAUAUUUUCCUAAAUGUAAGAUUGAUUGAAUAACACAUAGUAUAGUUUAAUAUACAAAACUAUAAUUUAGACGAACUGUAAAUAGAAAGUAUUUUGAAAACCUUGGGACUAACAUCCCGAACCAGUUAUAAGAUAAUUCGAUAAAGACCAUGGGAUCACUAUCCCGAAAAUAGAUAUAAGAUAGCUUGAUAAACCAUGGGAUCACUAUCCCGAAACUAGAUAUAUGAUAGAUUGAUAAAAUCAUGGGAUUAUCAUCCCGUAUAAGAUUUAGUUUCAAAACCAUGGGAUUACCAUCCCGAACGAGAUAUAGACACAAGAUCAUGGGAUUAUCAU